rnacentral:ncRNA from 1 species
GCUUAAUUUGACUCAACAUGGGAAAUUUACCAGGUCCAGACAUAGUAAGGAUUCACUGAGAGCUAUUUUUUUAUUCUAUGGGUGGUGAUGCAUGGCCGUUCUUAGUUGGUGGAGCGAUUUGUCUAGUUAAUUCCUUUAACAAACGAGACCUCAGCUUGCUAAUGGAGGUAUCCUCCACGGCCACCUUCUUAGAGGGACUAUGGCCGUCUAGGCCUCGGAAGUUUGAGGCAAUAACAGGUUUGUGAUGACCUUAGAUGUUAUCCCUUGGGAGCA